GGAACAAGAUCUUCCUGCAAGUCCUGUCCUAUUUCUCCACAGGGACUGACCUGGGCCCUUUGCUCAGACCUACCAGCUCUGCCUCAUUGUUCUUUGUGUAGUCUGUGGAAAAUGAACCAAAAUCUCCACCCCAGAUGAUAAAAAAGAAAAUCUUAUCAAAGCACAACUUUAUGAAGGGCAAGGCAGACAAAGAGAGUGGGAAGAAAGAGAAGAUAAUGUCCUAAGUCAUUAAACAAGCCUAAUUUUCCCAC